AUUGAACGCUGGCGGCAGGCCUAACACAUGCAAGUCGAACGGUAACAGGAAGCAGCUUGCUGCUUCGCUGACGAGUGGCGGACGGGUGAGUAAUGUCUGUGAAGCUGCCUGAUGGAGGGGGAUAACUACUGGAAACGGUAGCUAAUACCGCAUAAUGUCGCAAGACCAAAGAGGGGGAGCUUCGGGCCUCUUGCCAUCGGCUAUGCCCAGAUGGGAUUAGCUUGUUGGUGGGGUAACGGCGCACCAAGGCGACGAUCCCUAGCUGGUCUGAGAGGAUGAUCAGCCACACUGGGACUGAGACACGGUCCAGACUCCUACGGGAGGCAGCAGUGGGGAAUAUUGCACAAUGGGCGCAAGCCUGAUGCAGCCAUGCCGCGUGUAUGAAGAAGGCCUUCGGGUUGUAAAGUACUUUCAGCGGGGAGGAAGGGAGUAAAGUUAAUACCUUGGCUCAUUGACGUUACCCGCAGAAGAAGCACCGGCUAACUCCGUG
rnacentral:rRNA from 1 species